AUGACAAUUUCUCCGGAAUCUCUGUAUUUGAAUGAUGAAUACAGUUGAACCCUUUCUGCUGAUAACUGUGCACUGCCC